rnacentral:rRNA from 1 species
UACGUAGGGCGCAAGCGUUUAUCCGGAAUUAUUGGGCGUAAAGAGCUCGUAGGCGGUUUGUCGCGUCUGCCGUGAAAGUCCGGGGCUUAACCCCGGAUCUGCGGUGGGUACGGGCAGACUAGAGUGAUGUAGGGGAGACUGGAAUUCCUGGUGUAGCGGUGAAAUGCGCAGAUAUCAGGAGGAACACCGAUGGCGAAGGCAGGUCUCUGGGCAUUAACUGACGCUGAGGAGCGAAAGCAUGGGGAGCGAACAGG